rnacentral:rRNA from 1 species
UACGGGGGGGGCAAGCGUUGUUCGGAAUUACUGGGCGUAAAGGGCUCGUAGGUGGCCAACUAAGUCAGACGUGAAAUCCCUCGGCUUAACCGGGGAACUGCGUCUGAUACUGGAUGGCUUGAGUUUGGGAGAGGGAUGCGGAAUUCCAGGUGUAGCGGUGAAAUGCGUAGAGAUCCGGAAGAACACCGGUGGCGAAGGCGGCCUGCUGGGCUAUGGCUGACACUGAGGCGCGACAGCGUGGGGAGCAAACAGG